GCCCCAGUGACAGCCUCUCAAGUGCCCAGUAUCUUAACCCAGGCCUCAAACUCACCAAUCUCCUAGGGCAUCUUAAAGAGCAGGGCAGGGAGUGAGGCCACUUGGCCUACUCAGGCCACGUCUCCGGGCUGCAGAGGGCUGCUGGUCCUCCUGCUCAGGGUUGGUGGUGAGUGGAUGAGAGGAUAGCAGGGUAAGUCCACAGUGGACAUGUUUCCAUUUGAGUACCCCAAGACAGUCUACUGUGGAAGCCAGAAGUGACUACCCAAGCAGGCCCUGGCAUAGACCUUCCCCAAAGCGGAAGUAAGCUAGUUCCCAGCGGCCCCAUCCAGCCCUUUCAGGUUCCAAAGGGAGAGGUUGCAACUCUGGCUUUGAGUUUUGGAGAUCCUGCCUUUGACCUUGUCCCUUUGAAUGGCCCUCCUGGAACUUGACCCCUGUGAGGAAGAUAAUUAAUCUGCGCACCAGGCAGGAUUCCCUCCUGCAGUCUGUCACACAAGCGGCAGCAUGGAGGCUGCUGGCAGGAAUCUGAGCUGGAGGUGUACUCAGUGAAGGAACACCUGCCUAGCAUAUUCGAACUCCCUGAGACUUGCCCCCCCCCACGAAAUCAAUGGCAGGGGUCCUGUGAUCUGCCCUGAGCAUCAAGAUGUAGCCUGCAGCUAUUGCUCGAGUGCCUGCCUGCCUGCCUGCCUGCCGCUCUACACCAUGUUGUUCAUGGACUUACCCUCUGAAACUACAGCCAAUCCUCCAAUUAAAUGUUUUUUCUUCUUUAA